AUUGAACGCUGGCGGCAGGCUUAACACAUGCAAGUCGAGCGGGGUGAUGGUGCUUGCACUAUCACUUAGCGGCGGACGGGUGAGUAAUGCUUAGGAAUCUGCCUAUUAGUGAGGGACAACAUCUCGAAAGGGAUGCUAAUACCGCAUACGUCCUACGGGAGAAAGCAGGGGAUCACUUGUGACCUUGCGCUAAUAGAUGAGCCUAAGUCGGAUUAGCUUGUUGGUGGGGUAAAGGCCUACCAAGGCGACGAUCUGUAGCGGGUCUGAGAGGAUGAUCCGCCACACUGGGACUGAGACACGGCCCAGACUCCUACGGGAGGCAGCAGUGGGGAAUAUUGGACAAUGGGGGGAACCCUGAUCCAGCCAUGCCGCGUGUGUGAAGAAGGCCUUAUGGUUGUAAAGCACUUUAAGCGAGGAGGAGGCUCUUUUGGUUAAUACCCAAGAUGAGUGGGCGUUACUCGCAGAAUAAGCACCGGCUAACUCUGUGCCAGCAGCCGCGGUAA
rnacentral:rRNA from 1 species